rnacentral:lncRNA from 1 species
GAUAAUAAAAUUAAAAGAUACAAUCAGCUUUUAUAGAGAAACUAGGAAAGAGGGAAAAGGGAAAAAAUUAACUGUCAAGCAUAGUCACCUGGAGGAUAAGAAUAGUCCUGUGAUGGUGGUGGAUAAGAUACGGGAGGAUAUGCCGAAGGUGGUGGAUAAGCUGGAGGAUAAGCAGUCGUUUGAGGGGGAGGAUAUGAGGUUGGUGGAUAUGCAACUGAAUGAGGCGGGUAUGCAGGGUAUGGAGGAGGUGUUUGAUAAGCCGCUGCUGGUGGAUAAGAAGCUAAAUGUGGUGGAGGCACGGAGUACAUAGGUGCUUGAGGUUG